CUUUACCUAGCUCAGUGGAAGAGCCACUUGCCUUGCAUGCAAAAGGUCUCAGGUUCAGUCCCCAGCAUGCCCAGGUAAAGC